GAUGGGGCUGCGGCCCAUCAUGGUUGUUGGUGGGGUAACGGCCCACCAAGCCGAAGAUCCGUACGGGCCAUGAGAGUGGGAGCCCGGAGAUGGACCCUGAGACACGGGUCCAGGCCCUACGGGGCGCAGCAGGCGCGAAACCUCCGCAAUGCGGGAAACCGCGACGGGGUCAGCCGGAGUGCUCGCGCAUCGCGCGGGCUGUCGGGGUGCCUAAAAAGCACCCCAUAGCAAGGGCCGGGCAAGGCCGGUGGCAGCCGCCGCGGUAAUACCGGCGGCCCGAGUGGCGGCCACUUUUAUUGGGCCUAAAGCGUCCGUAGCCGGGCUGGUAAGUCCUCCGGGAAAUCUGGUCGCUUAACGAUCAGACUGCCGGAGGAUACUGCCAGCCUAGGGACCGGGAGAGGCCGGGGGUAUUCCCGGGGUAGGGGUGAAAUCCUGUAAUCCCGGGAGGACCACCUGUGGCGAAGGCGCCCGGCUGGAACGGGUCCGACGGUGAGGGACGAAGGCCAGGGGAGCGAACCGGAUUAGAUACCCGGGUAGUCCUGGCUGUAAACGAUGCGGACUAGGUGUCACCGAAGCUACGAGCUUCGGUGGUGCCGGAGGGAAGCCGUUA
rnacentral:rRNA from 1 species